CUCUUGUUAAAGGCACGCUGGUGUUGUGCUUAGCUAACGGCUCGUUAGCCACCGUGGGUGCUUAGCUAACGGCUCGUUAGCCACCGUGGGUGCAAAACGCGAACGCACAUUCGGCUUUUUACUUCCAGUUAUUUGAUGGCGCUUUUAAUAACGAUAAUAGUUCUUCUUGCUGGGUCGUAUAAACGUGUGUGGGCCGCAUUGUGAUUCUGGCGUGACCUUUUCCACCGUGUGUAAUGCCGGAUAUCCUUGUUUGUGUAUUUGCGAGUGGUCCCCGUUUAGGCCGCUUCACAGAUAAUAUUAAUAUUAAUAUCACACUUGUUCGUUUAUUCACCUCAAGUCAAUACUAAUGUAAAUGUUAUUGGCAGGCGCCUGUUCGUGAGCAUUCGCUGUGAUGUCGCCACAAUGAAUGCUAAUAAGGGGGACUUCAGUUGGUUGAAUAGUUAUAUUUACAGCAACAAUGUGAAACACUUUCCUAUGGCAGCCAUAAGGUGCAGUUCGGGAUUAUUAAAUUAUUUUUAUUAUUUAUUUUAUAAAUUAUUUUAUUCAGCUAUUCAGGUUUGCAUUCAAAAUUAAUGUGUGAAUGGCUUGAGUUAUCAGAUUUCUAUACAUUUGAGAAUUUAAUUUAGUAGAGAUAUUUAGCGAAAGAUCUGCUGCCUUUUUGGGCCCUAGAUUCUAUAACAAAACACAUUUAGCUUGUAAAUGUUAUUUUUUUAGAGUUUGAAAGGAAUUUAUGGUUGUGUUUAAUGUAAUAUCUGUCGGUGAAUGUUGGGAUGUACAGCAAAACUUAUUUGCUCCACACAUCACAAAGAUGCUACUCGUGAAAUUGCUGUGGAAAACAUGGAAAUGUUCUAAAGUAAAAUUCUAAAGCUCUAAAAUUCCCAGGUGUUAGAUUGAUCUCGUAAUGCAUGGCAGAGGUUCUUUCGUGUGGAAAAGCUUUCCGUUCCACAGAAGCCCUGACAUAGAUAAUUGUAGGAGUAGAGGUACAGGUGUAUUGAGCAAAUUAAAAGCAAAUUAUCACCAUGUACAUAUCUAGACAUUUUCCGAGGCAUUUUUCAGUGCAGUUAUUCUUAAAAUAGCAAACAUGUAUUAUUACUAUAACCGUUAUAUAACUAUAUUACAAACUAAUAAAGGCACACAUUAACCGGUUGGCUUAAAAUCCGCAAACAAAAAGAAGCUUGAACCUCGGCUCCAUCCAUGACACCACCUGGUUAAACCUCUUUAGAAGAGGGACUAAUGCCGCGCAGUGACUGAGUGUACUUGAACGCGGCACGGGCAGUUAUGCCAUCACGCGGCUGCCCUUAUCUGCCGUGACAGCCAGGCCCCUGGUGGCAUAUGGCGCAAAUGAGGCCAGUAAGCCCAAACGGCCUCCGAGCGCCUAGACAAAAAGAUCCCAGUGGGACGCUAAGUGCAUGUUACGUCCUUACACCUCCCUGCUCGGGCCCCAUGGAGUCAUUAUGUGGGAAAUGGCUCCACCUUCCGGCCGUCGUGCCCACGCGUCCUGA
ensembl:lncRNA